rnacentral:rRNA from 1 species
GUACACACCGCCCGUCACACCAUGGGAGUGGGUUGCACCAGAAGCAGGUAGUCUAACCGCAAGGAGGGCGCUUGCCACGGUGGGAUUCAUGACUGGGGUGAAGUCGUAACAAGGUAGCCGUAGGUGAACCUGCAGAAGGAUCA